CUGUGAUAUUCUCCUGGACCUCUUCUCCUGCUUUAAAUACUCUUCUUCGUUUGUAGAAACAGCAGGAGAAGAGGUCCAGGAGAAUAUCACAG